GUCUACGAUUCAACUUUGUAACGCUAGUUCUGUGCAUUACACACCCUGAAAUGCAGACUGAACAUACAAGUGUCCAGGGUACUUAAUCUUCUUUCUUCUUCUAAAUUACCCCAUAAGAUAUUCUGCACAGCCAACGUGGGCUUACAAUAAACUGAUUCCCCUUGACACACUGCAUACAUGUAACAUUUGCUUUAUUUUAUUAUCCUGAUCAGCUUUCAAGUCAUAGAAGGAAAAGGUGGAGAAAGACACACGCAGUCACUUCAUUGCAAGGACAGGUACAGAGACUUGCGGCCACCUGAAAAAGAAGCAUUUCUACUUCGUCUGUCACCGGUCUGGAAGUUAUGCUUCACAAGCUACAAGUAAACAAAAGCUGAAGCGGCCUUCAAGUGUCAAGUGUGGAAAAAGAUGUUUUGCGGCAAUGGCUGUGACUGAAGACAACACAGGUGUGUAUGUGGUUUUCCAAUUCAAGCACAGAGGCCACGAC
rnacentral:lncRNA from 1 species